CGAAAGCCUGACGGAGCAACGCCGCGUGUGGGAAGAAGGCCUUUGGGCUGUCAACCACUUUUCUCAGGGAAGAAGUUCUGACGGUACCUGAGGAAUCAGCCUCGGCUAACUCCGUGCCAGCAGCCGCGGUAAUACGGAGGAGGCAAGCGUUAUUCGGAAUUAUUGGGCGUAAAGCGUCCGCAGGGGGCUCAUCAAGUCUGCUGUCAAAGACCGAGGCUCAACCUCGGGUCGGCAGUGGAAACUGGAUAGCUAGAGGUCGGUAGGGGCAAAGGGAAUUCCCAGUGUAGCGGUGAAAUGCGUAGAUAUUGGGAAGAACACCGGUGGCGAAAGCGCUCUACUGGGCCGUGACUGACCCUGAGGGACGAAAGCUAGGGGAGCG
rnacentral:rRNA from 1 species